rnacentral:rRNA from 1 species
UACGUAGGAUCCGAGCGUUAUCCGGAUUCACUGGGUUUAAAGGGUGCGUAGGUGGGCAAGUAAGUCAGUGGUGAAAUCUCCGGGCUUAACCCGGAAACUGCCAUUGAUACUAUUUGUCUUGAAUACUGUGGAGGUCAGCGGAAUAUGUCAUGUAGCGGUGAAAUGCUUAGAUAUGACAUAGAACACCAAUUGCGAAGGCAGCUGGCUACACAAAUAUUGACACUGAGGCACGAAAGCGUGGGGAUCAAACAGG